rnacentral:misc_RNA from 1 species
CAGGUAGCAUUCCUCACGGACAUCGGGUCGCAAGACGCCACCGUCAGUGCGACCACGAACGUCGUUCGAAUGUGGCGUGUGACGCCAAUUUGUGGGCAAAAUAGAGGUCAUGGACCCCGUACCCUCAGUGUAUUCCGCAUCCCAGAGGCCGAGCAAACAGUCGUGGGCCGCGACGACGACGCAUUUCGUGAGCGACGCGGAACACGAAUUUUGCUUCGCGGGUCACCCGAAGCCGCACCGCGCAAACGGGCAGCGUUGGGCGAUCGAGGGAAGAAUUGGCUAACGAAUUCCGUCGAUAUAGGUAUGCAACACAGGAAACCAACGACUACGGCCAAGGCUAAAGUCGCUCUUGGGCCAACGACUGAAGAGGAACGCACGGAAGGACGUCGCUACUCGAGCAGGGAUCCAA